GACUGGCUCUUCUUGGCACUUCUCUUGGCGAUCAACUUCAUCAAAAUGGAUUUCUACACUGUGGGAUCAGACUGACACUUCUUGACACUAUUUUGGUUAGGCAAGGACAUUUAAAUUUGGAACUGACUGACCAAAAGUCAAUGAUUCCAGAUGGACACAACAUCCCAGUAAUGUCCUCAUGUGGCUGCAUACAGUCUACCACAAACAAAGGAGGCUUUCAAUCCAACCGCUUCACGUGAAGGUUGGACGAUUUGGAGACAAAGCAAGAG